UCCUACGGGAGGCAGCAGUGGGGAAUAUUGGACAAUGGGCGAAAGCCUGAUCCAGCCAUGCCGCGUGUGUGAAGAAGGUCUUCGGAUUGUAAAACACUUUAAGUUGGGAGGAAGGGCCGUUACCUAAUACGUGAUGGUUUUGACGUUACCGACAGAAUAAGCACCGGCUAACUCUGUGCCACCAGCCGCGGUA
rnacentral:rRNA from 1 species